ensembl:lncRNA
CAGAAAAUGGACAGUGCCUGUAAGCGAUUCCAAAUGCCCCUGGCAUUCUGUGGGUACCCAUAAUGCUUUGAGGUUGUGAGUGUGCCCGUGAGGUUUUAAACAUUUCUAUGAGGUAUUGAGCAUGCCCCUUGGCUAUCCGCGCAUGCUCUGGUGCAGUCUGGGGUCUGAGCACUGAGGGCUUUUGGGCAAGCCUGAUUCGUAAAUCCUCAUGGUGGGCAGGUGCCAGUGAGGGUGCCAACAUGGUCAGCUGCGGUCCAGAGGUAAUCCACAGUGAAUUCCAGCAGCGGCGAGGAUCACGGCACCCAUUGCCAGCAUAUUCUCUCUCUCUCUCUCUCUCUCUCUCUUCAUCCAUCAAUCACUCAGUAUUUGUCUCUCAUUUCCCUUUCCCAACUUGCUCUUUUUAUCUUCCUCUUUCCUCUCCUUUUAUACUCUCCUUUCGGUGUCUUCUAUGCAUUUUGUCUUUCCUCUAACUCUCAUCUAGUUUUCUCUCUCUCUGUCCCUCCUCCGAUUUCUCCCUGUGUCUGGAGCGAGUCCCAGCGUGUUGGAAUAGAGGAGGUGCUCCAUUCAGCCAUUGAAACAUUUCCUCUGCUCUCAUUCCUUAGCCUUAAAACAUUCAGCACUUUAACCAAAGGAUUGCAGGAAGAAAGGAUGAAAGAAGCAGCACGUGUCUUUCCUAUUUCGCACAGCUGCUGGUUUUCUUUGACUCUUCCUGCUCUAUUUUCUGUCCCUCCUGUCAUUCACCUGGGACAUAUUUCCUUUUUCUCAUGCCUGUUUAAGGGAGGUAAAAUGGGAUUUUGGAUCCGGCCCACUGAAUUAAGUUUACAAAUCAUUCUGAAGUCUAGCACCAUGUUUAGAUGUAAUGAAUUUUCUAGUGGAAUUGCAAACUGGUACUGUACACUUUGGGGACAAAAUACCUGCAAUUUGCUGGGAAUGCUAAGCAAGUCCUUUUUUUUUUUUUUUUUUUUUUUUUUUUUCAACAGAUAUUAAGAGAAGGGCUUUUCUGUCUUUGCAUAAAAAAGAGACGUUCCUAGUCUUAUUGAGAGCCAUAUAUAGGUGCUUAUUAGUGCUUAUUCUGCC